rnacentral:rRNA from 1 species
GAUGAACGCUGGCGGCGUGCUUAACACAUGCAAGUCGAACGGAAAGGCCCAAGCUUGCUUGGGUACUCGAGUGGCGAACGGGUGAGUAACACGUGGGUGAUCUGCCCUGCACUUCGGGAUAAGCCUGGGAAACUGGGUCUAAUACCGGAUAGGACCACAUUUUGGAUUGUGUGGUGGAAAGUUUUUCGGUGUGGGAUGAGCUCGCGGCCUAUCAGCUUGUUGGUGGGGUAAUGGCCUACCAAGGCGUCGACGGGUAGCCGGCCUGAGAGGGUGUACGGCCACAUUGGGACUGAGAUACGGCCCAGACUCCUACGGGAGGCAGCAGUGGGGAAUAUUGCACAAUGGGCGCAAGCCUGAUGCAGCGACGCCGCGUGGGGGAUGACGGCCUUCGGGUUGUAAACUCCUUUCGCUAGGGACGAAGCGUUAUGUGACGGUACCUGGAGAAGAAGCACCGGCUAACUACGUG